GAAACGGCCUACACUGUAAAUCAUAUAGGUGGAAAUUUAGGGGUGGUUUUUUUGUUAUCGUGGUAACAUCCACAAAUGCGUGGAAAUACACACGUGUGGUAUCACUAUUUCCACCAUUUGACUUAUAUCAGCAUAUCUUGUACCCGCCCAUCACCCAAAAGGUGGAGUUGGCCACCACUAAUCAAAAUAUUGGAUUUAGUGAAAUAAAUUCCGCUAACCCAUAUAUUUAGAAAACACCUGUUAUUCCGGACGUUCAUUGAGUAUUUACUAUAAUAUAAACAAGUUGUCAGUGCAUUUGGCUUAUUUGUAAAACCUUGUUGAAAUAUAUACUUCUAAAUCUCACUCGUAUGCCAAUUUUGCAUUUCGAAAAGAAUUUUGUUUUAGGUUUGAUUUGAUUUUAAAUUACCGAAGUAAACCAAUGUCAAACAGACAGUGGGUCACGUUCAAAAGUUGGUUUUAUUUAUUUAUUUAUUGUUAUUUCUGUGUUUGCGGCGUGGUCGUGGGAAAAUUUACUGCGCAUGCGCAUUUCCGUCAUGCAGUUUUUGUGAAACGUGUUCGGUUUUUUUGUAUUAAUAUAGUGCAAACGCUGUUAGGAAGUAAAGUAAAGAAUAAAGAUCGGUAUGUUAUAAUUGCAUUUUCAAUGUUAUUUACUUACUUUUACAGUCUAUUUAACCUAAUUUAAAAAUGGAGGGAAUACCUUGCCCAUAUCAGGAAUGCUGUGAAACAAUGGCCAAACCAAGUUUAAUUCACCAUUUAAAGUUUGAGCAUGGAAAGACUAUUAUUUACCAAUGUAAAAUAGCGAAAUGUGGUUUAAUUUAUUCAAGUGUACGGAGCUAUGAAAAGCAUCUCCUAAGAAUGCAUUCCAAUUAUUCAUCAAUCAUUCAUCAGCAAGAUCCAGUUGUUUCAGAUUAUGUGGAAUGUCACGAACCCAAUUCAUCUGACGAUAAUGUUUGUGAGGGGGAGCAAACGUUUGUGAGCAAUUUUGUUAAGUUUUGUUUGCAACUACGAGAGCGUUAUAUCUUGCCUCAACGCGCAUAUGAAACCAUUAUAAAUGACAUGACUGCCUUGUUUUCCCAUUUUCAUCAAAAUUUAAUCAAGCACUUCAAAUCUGAGGUUGGAUUCAAUGAGCAUUUAGAAAAUCCAAAUUUUUUACCAGACCUGUGGAAGAAAUUACAGAACAAAUCCAUGUUUGAGCAGAGCUGUCAGUCGCUAGGGUUGGUUCAACCUGAAACAGUAAAGAGUGAUAAUAAUAAUAACAUAACUUUUCAAUAUGUACCAAUAGUAAAAUCUUUGUCGAAUUAUUUAAACCAGCAAGAUGUGCUGCAGGCAGUUUUAUUGAAUAACAGAUCAUGUGCUUCACAGACAAAUGUUCUUUGUGAUUUUACAGACGGUGAAUAUUUUCGUACAAAAUCAUAUUUCAGGGGCAACCGAGACUUGUUGCGACUUCAUUUUUAUUGCGAUGAACUGGAAGUUUGUAAUCCACUAGGUUCUUCAAAAACAAAGCACAAGCUUACUGUGUUUUAUUAUUAUGUGGGAAACAUUGGUGUAAAACAUAGUGCUAGCUUGAAAAAUAUAUUUUUGGCUCUUCUCAUUGAAUCUAAGAAGCUGAAAACAAUUGGUUAUCAUACUGCUCUUAAACCUCUUAUAAAAGAUUUACAGUUUUUGCAAGAGAAAGGGAUUGUCACAUGUGAUGGUGCACAUACACUAUAUGGUACUAUAGCAACAUUGUCUGCUGAUAACCUUGGCGCUCAUGAACUUGGCGGAUUUCGAAAAUUAGCGGCCGAAUUAUGUCGCUUUUGUAUGUGCUUAUAUAGCGAAUUAAAACUUAAUACACGUGAAGAAGAUUUUGUUUUAAGAAAUCCCACCACACAUGCACUGCAUGUUAGUGGUGUUGAAAUGGACAGCACAUUGUCUUGUGCAUACGGUGUACUUGAAAGUUGUGCAUUUUCAUCAGUAAUUGGUUUUUCCCCUGUUACGUCUUUGCCACCAGAUAUUAUGCAUGACUGCAUGGAAGGUGUACAGCAGUAUUUUUUGCAAUACCUUUUUAGACACUUAUCUUCAGAAAAAAUUUGUUCUAUCAGUGAAUUAAAUGAAAAGCUUAGCUGCUUUCCAUAUGGACCAACAGACUACAAGAAUAAACCGAGGAGUCUACCAGGACAAGUUGUUCGUGUUAAUGGAAAAUUUUCAAUGUGUGCAAGUGAGACGUGGUGCUUGUUUAGGCUAAUCCCACUUGUUGUGGGACAGCUUGUUCCAGAAGGAGACAAAGCAUGGAAGUUGUAUUCUCUUUUGGCAGAAAUAAUGGAAAUUGUUUUUGCACCUAAAAUUGAUGUAAUGCAUGUGAAUCACUUAAAAUUGUUGAUUGAUGAAUUUUAUUGUUCAUUUCUUAAGGAAGCAGAAGACUUAAUCAAACCAAAAUUUCACUUUCUCCUGCAUUAUCCAAGACUUAUAGCAUAUUAUGGUCCUUUAAGGCACUUGUGGUGUAUGAGAUUCGAGUCGUUUCACAGGAAGUUAAAAAAAAUAGCGAAAGUGUCACAAAACUUUAAAAACAUUUGUUUGACAGUUGCACAAAGAUUGCAGUAUGGAAAAUGUUACGAACAUUUUAGUGGAACAUGUAUAGCAGAAGUCAAUGAAGUUGGUAAUCAAACUGUAACUAAUUUAAACAAUUUUGAUACCAAAAUAUCCACUUUUCUUUUGUCUUUGACACCUCACUGCGCAGAUAGUGUUUUGUAUUCUGCCACUAGUGUCCAUAUAAAUGGUGCAAAGUAUGUGUAUGGAAAUGUUUUUUUACUUGACAUAAAUAAUGAAUUACCUGUUUUUGGCCAAAUCAAGGAUAUUAUUAUUUAUCAUCAAUAUGUGGUAAUUGUUUGUGUAUAUGUACUUGCUAAAAGUUUUGACAGACAUUUGCACUCCUACAUAGUUAGCACUACAGAGGAGUUAGUAUUUCUGCAACCCGGAUUUGAAUUAAAUUAUCACCCCCUUGAUUUAUAUGACAUAGGUGAUAAAAAAGUUAUUCGUCUCAGACACACACUUGUGCAACAAUAGGCUUAAAAAUGAUAAAUGCGUUUAUACAGCACUAACCCUGUGUUUCUUGUUUAGAUUUUCAGUAUGGCUUGUAUGCCUUGUAAAUAUCUAGUUGUAUUUAACAGUACAAAAAAAGUUAUUACAUGCAACAAAACUGAAAUCCCUGACAAAAUAAUGGACAGUUUCAAACUUGAUCAAGGUUUUGAUAUGAAAUUGUUUGAUGAGGAUUUUGAAGAAUGGGUUAGUAUAUCCGACAACUUGAAUGAACUCCCGUCAAAAGGCAAGCUUCGUGUUGUAACUGAAGAGGAUGUUGAAUCCGAUUGUACUGUACCAUUAAAUACUUCGUCGGAAUCGGAAGAAAGCAUGGCACGUGGGGAAACAAGUAAAUCAUGGCUGUUAUCAUACUCUCUGCCAAAGUUCCCUGCAUUCAUUUCUGACAUAUUGGAGACAAACGAAGAAAUAUCGACACACACUAGAAAAAAGAUUGGACAAAUCAUUUUUGAUUCCAUGGCUUGUUACACACUAUAUCCCACUUCAUUUGAAUAUAAAUCUGUUUGCAUGGCACUGUUAAAAAAAUAUCCGAACCUGGCCGAUAAGAGUACAAAAGAUGUUACAGUUACGUUUUAUAUAAUAGUGAUUUGACUCAUUUUAAAAACUUUAUAAUAUGCAGGGUACAUGGCUAGUAAGUCUUAGACAAAGGUUCAGGGAUAUGCGAAGACCCAUGUAUAACAAUGAUACAGUGAAAGCUAUGAAAAGGAAAUAUGGUUUUCAUGCUAGGAGAGACGAUGACCAGUUACAAUCAGCAAAGCGUGUGUUUGUGGCAUCCGAUUGUACGGAGGAUGCAACAAGUAUCAAACUACACAUAAAAGCCUUGGAUGCCGAACUUAAGAAAAAGGAAAGAAAUCUUGAUAUAUUGCAAGACAGAAUGUCCAGAACUUACAGCAUACGCAGAAAAGAGGUUCAGGAAGGGGACUUAAGUAUUUUGGACAUUAUAUCAAAGUACUCCGCUUUAAGAUUACCAUUAUGUUUUCUGGAAGAAGCACAACGUGUUUUCAAAGCUGAUAUACAAGCUAAGUUAAAUGCAGUGAAUCCUAACAUUUGGAAAAAACUGGGAAACUUAACUAAAAUUGCCAAACCAUGUGAAUUGGAUAAGUGGAUGGUUGAUGAAAAGAGUUUGGCACUACUCUUUCUUCCAAGAGUAUUUAAAGAAGAAACAGAACUUUACAUGAUCUAUAACAUG